rnacentral:rRNA from 1 species
UUGGAGGUAGUGACAAUAAAUCACAAUGCGGGACUAUCAGUCUUGCAAUUGGAUUGAGAACAAUGUACAACUCUUAUCGAUAAGCCAUUGGAGGGCAAGUCUGGUGCCAGCAGCCGCGGUAAUUCCAGCUCCAAUAGCGUAUAUUAACGUUGUUGCAGUUAAAAAGCUCGUAGUUGAAGUGUGGGUGAUCGCUAUUGUGAGACUUCGGUCUCUCGACAGUAAGUCACCCCCUUCCAGUAUCCAGUAGUGGGUAUUCACUUACUUACUACUGUGUGUUGGUCCUUUACUGUGAGAAAAUUAGAGUGUUCAAAGCAGGCGUUUGCUUGAAUAGAUUAGCAUGGAAUAAUAAUUGAAGGCUUUCGUGUUCGAUUUGAUUGGUUUGUUCAUGGAAGCAAGGUUAAAAGGAACAGUUGGGGGUAUUCAUAUUCACUAGUUAGAGGUGAAAUUCUCGGAUUUAUGGAAGAUGAACAAGUGCGAAAGCAA